rnacentral:rRNA from 1 species
UUGAACGCUGGCGGCAGGCCUAACACAUGCAAGUCGCGCGGAUGAAGGGAGCUUGCUCCUGGAUUCAGCGGCGGACGGGUGAGUAAUGCCUAGGAAUCUGCCUGGUAGUGGGGGAUAACGUCCGGAAACGGGCGCUAAUACCGCAUACGUCCUGAGGGAGAAAGUGGGGGAUCUUCGGACCUCACGCUAUCAGAUGAGCCUAGGUCGGAUUAGCUAGUUGGUGGGGUAAAGGCCUACCAAGGCGACGAUCCGUAACUGGUCUGAGAGGAUGAUCAGUCACACUGGAACUGAGACACGGUCCAGACUCCUACGGGAGGCAGCAGUGGGGAAUAUUGGACAAUGGGCGAAAGCCUGAUCCAGCCAUGCCGCGUGUGUGAAGAAGGUCUUCGGAUUGUAAAGCACUUUAAGUUGGGAGGAAGGGCAGUAAGUUAAUACCCUGCUGUUUUGACGUUACCAACAGAAUAAGCACCGGCUAACUUCGUG